ensembl:lncRNA
GGGCUUCCUUCCCCCUCAUGUAAACCAGCCGGGCGCCGGGCGGGGGGACGCUGCCUCCUGAGGGGAGGGGGGGGGAAGGCGAUGGCAGCAGGGCAGCGCCCCACGCACCCACAGCAGCGCUCCAGCAGCCGGCGAGCCUGGCCGCGACGGGUCCCGGGCUGCCGCUCGCCUCGCCGUGCUGCUUAUUAUGAUUAUAUAUAUAUAUUUUUUUCUCUCCUCAAACCCCCUCUCCUCCCCUUUUUCUCCUUCCCUUCCCCCCCCCCCCCCCCCCCCAGCCGCUUCCUGCCUCGGUGCCGCAGCCGGUGCCUCCCUCCUUCCUCCUCCUUUCUCCUCCUCCUUUCUCCUUCUUCUUCUUCUCCUUCUUCUUGUUCUCCUGCCGCCGCCGCCGCUCCCCGCCCGGCCGCCGCCGAGCCCGGUCUCCUCAGGAGCGAGCCGCCGCACGAAAUGACAACCAGCUGGAGGAGGCACCGCGCCACUUCCGCUCCGCCGCCGGGCGCUGCCCCCGCCCCGCCCCGACCCCGCCUCCCCGCCCCGACCCCGCCCCUCCCGGCUUCGCGGCGCCAUUUUGGGAGUGUCAACUCUCAUGCAUCUGCUGAUUGCAGCUGUCAUGGUGUCAUCUGGAAAGAAAGGUGAACCCGCAGUGACUCAACAUGUGAACUUCAGGCGUUCGCGCUGCACACACUGCCCAUUACAGAAACAUCAGGCUGAGGCACCUACUGAACACUGCUGGUGGGGAAACAGAAUUCAAAUCUCAAUGCUGUAAAUUUAAAGUCAUCUUCUACAUUAAAAAACAAACAAAAAAAAAAAAGAAAAAAGAGAAAGAAAGAGUCGUUUUUCUAGGAACAGAAUUAUCAACUGGAUCUUGUGCAGCAAAAGCUGUAUCAAGGCCUGAUGUUUUCUUGAACACCAAAAGCCCUCUCAGGAUGUCCAAGUCUCCAGUUCUAUUUUAAUAUACAUUGGCGUGUUGUGUCCAUACAACACUCUACAGCACAGGGAGACAAUUUACUAAAUUAAAUCAAAAUUCAGAAUUAACACUACACCUAGAAAAUAAGGAUUUAAGGAUGAGUGCACUGUGCUGUAAUAAAAUGUAGAGGAAUCAUUCAUGGUAUUAUUAGUCACGCAGGUGUUCCUCCACAUUACCUUAGGUCUAAUGUAUCACAAGACACAGAACUUGCUCAUGUUCAAUGGUAAUAAAGAUAACCAACAGGCCCAAAAAGCUGCAUCAACAUUUUAUCCUCAACAAUCGCUCCAGAAAGGCUGAGCUACAAACUCCGAGCAAGCUGUCAGUAGCUAAUAUUAGCCUGCACAUAAAGAAAAUUUUUAUUUCAGGGCAAUUUUCAAAGACUGCGGAAAGUGUUCUCUAGGCCUCAGAGAAAAUCCAACUGCUCAUUUUUGUGCUGAUGCAGCUGCAACUGCUGUUUGCUAGAUCAUAUCUCAGCUUGGUCACUGCAAUAUCAAAGUAUGAUUUUAUAAACCCAGUAAACCAUUUAAGUCUUGUGUAAAACACAUUAUACAUGCUAAUAGCUUCAUUUGGCUAAGCUGGCUUUGUCAUAUUUCUGCAUCUGGAUGAAGGUACCACGUAUACUACUGAUAUAGCCUCAUACAUUAAGCAACCCCUUAAUGGCAUACAUUGCCUUGGAGUCUUUAUUCUUUAUGAAGAAAAUCCUUAUCACUGCCCAGAGAACUAUUCUGUGUGCGGUAAUUAUGUAAUAUUAAUGAACAAUAUUAUGUACAACUGUACUUUCCAGCCCUAUUCUUUGUAUGGAAUGUACUUUAGAAUGACCUGACUCUGCAAAAAUGCCUCUAGCCUCCACGACUCAUGUAAAAUACAAUAAAUACAUAAAUAAUUUAAAAGAGGAAAUAGUGUUGUGACAGCAGUGGUGUUCUUAUUGCUGAACUUCAGCAUCUGGUGAUGUGGCCUUUGAAAAUUCUUUUUCUUUUUCUUUUCUUUUCUUUUCUUUUCUUUUCUUUUCUUUUCUUUUCUUUUCUUUUCUUUUCUUUUCUUUUCUUUUCUUUUCUUUUCUUUUCU